rnacentral:lncRNA from 1 species
GAGUUACGACUCCGUUCCUUGUUAUUUAGCCUAAAAUUAAUAAUGGAGGUUUCUAAAUUUACUAAUGACUAAUAACUAAAUUCUAAGUGUAAUGCGAGAAUGAAUGAGCAAAGAGAAUAAUCAAGAUAAGAAAGCAAACCCAAAGAGGACCUAGACUAGUUGGUAAUCAAACAAAGGAUAACAGAUUGUUGAGUCUGAUUAUAUUACCCGUGGACGGAUUCUAAAUUGAAUUCGGUUUCCCUCU